GGAGUCAAGAAAAUUGGAUUUUAAGCAAAAGAAAGGAAUUUAUUUGAACAGUUCCACGUGUUCGUUGAAAAAGGAGGAAAUGAAAGUUCAAGAUUCAAGACCAAUCUCAAGCUAUACAGAAUUCCUGGGAUUAUACUCAGCUGAAUUGGUCAUUAAAGCAGCAAGAUUAAAAAGCAAGCUGCCUGUAGGACAGAUGGAGAAGAGAGGAAAAUCCCCAAAGCCAGGUCUGGACUUCUCAGAGAUCAUUGCUGUUUCCUUCCAGAUGCCUCCCAGCUAUCUCGGAAUGAGAGAGAUAUGCUCUAAGACUUUGGAUGAGGAAAGGCCUCAGGACCUCCCCAUCUGGAAAUCAUGGUUUGUGAAUAUAGACCUCUGUUCUUUGCCUCUUUCCAUUUGUUCUCUCCUUCUUUUAGGUGGAUUAUUGGAGGCAGUUGCAAUCUUGUGAACUUUUAGCUACUAGAGAUCCAGGAGCCAUAUUUCAUGACAGAUUUUACAGCUAGACGUGAGUAGGAAAGUUCCAAGUGACUUAUUUGACCCAGCGUAGAUCUGAGGUAGCCAACAAAGAGUAAUAGAGAUUCAUUCAUCAGCUAUGCCAUAGUUGGAA
rnacentral:lncRNA from 1 species